ACAGCUUCAACAUUAACGUCAUUAACACCAAGGGAUCUUUAAGUGCGGCGGUGAAGUGGCGGCCAACGCGUCAACUGCCUUGACAUUGGUGCCUUAGCUAAACCACCAUGACUGCUCUCCGGGUUAUUCUCUACAUGACCAUUGGAGUUUGGCUGGGCCUGCGCACACCACGAUUCCUGCUCUAUGUGGCAGGAUUUCGGAAGGAGGGAGUAAAGUCUGGAAGUUGCGCCGCAAAAUGGCAGUCAACUAUCCGUGGCAAGAUCCAAAAGAGCCACCUGUUCGCCGAGUUCCAGCGAUGGGGCGUGGCGGGCCCCCCGGCUCUAAUUUCAUACUACUGCGCCAUAACAGCACUCCACUGGAGCCUGCACUUUGCACUAUAGCUAAUCGAUAACAUGCAUGCCAAAUGCGUCAUUGGACUGGAGAACCGCUAGCAGCUGUAAUACCUGUUUGGAACGGUUUCUCGUUCAAUUCCACUAAAAUUUGUGUCUGGCUUUCA